rnacentral:rRNA from 1 species
AGUGAACGCUGGCGGUAGGCCUAACACAUGCAAGUCGAACGGCAGCACAGGAGAGCUUGCUCUCUGGGUGGCGAGUGGCGGACGGGUGAGGAAUACAUCGGAAUCUACUCUGUCGUGGGGGAUAACGUAGGGAAACUUACGCUAAUACCGCAUACGACCUACGGGUGAAAGCAGGGGACCUUCGGGCCUUGCGCGAUUGAAUGAGCCGAGGUCGGAUUAGGUAGUUGGCGGGGUAAAGGCCCACCAAGGAGACGAUCCGUAGCGGGUCUGAGAGGAUGAUCAGCCACACUGGAACUGAGACACGGUCCAGACUCCGACGGGAGGCAGCAGUGGGGAAUAUUGGACAAUGGGCGCAAGCCUGAUCCAGCCAUACCGCGUGGGUGAAGAAGGCCUUCGGGUUGUAAAGCCCUUUUGUUGGGAAAGAAAUCCAGCUGGCUAAUACCCGGUUGGGAUGACGGUACCCAAAGAAUAAGCACCGGCUAACUUCGUGCCAGCCGCCGCAGUAA